GCUAGGAACGAACGCUCAGGGAGCCGACGGUGAGUAGAUCUGCGUUUAUUCUUCAUCGUACACACAGAUGACUCAGGUCAGAUACAAGAGUACAACUUGCGGAGUCUUCCUCAAAAACUAAACUAAACUCGGAGGUACCUUUCCUCUACUCCGUUGAACACAGAAACUAAACAGCACAAUGGUCAGACAACAAUCCGGCGACGGCAUUCUGACGACGAUCCAGCGCCACACAAUGGUGCACGCCGACUUAAAUUACCAGGGGAACAGGUGAACGAGAUUACCAAUCAACAGAGGGUAAAUGACCAGAAUAAACAUAGAAACACAGAAUAAACCCCUAAACAUAGAAUGAGAAUACAGAAAUAAACCCAAAAGAACUGA